GUGAACGCUGGCGGUAGGCCUAACACAUGCAAGUCGAACGGCGGCACAGUAAGAGCUUGCUCUUACGGGUGGCGAGUGGCGGACGGGUGAGGAAUACAUCGGAAUCUACUUUUUCGUGGGGGAUAACGUAGGGAAACUUACGCUAAUACCGCAUACGACCUACGGGUGAAAGCAGGGGAUCUUCGGACCUUGCGCGAUUGAAUGAGCCGAUGUCGGAUUAGCUAGUUGGCGGGGUAAAGGCCCACCAAGGCGACGAUCCGUAGCUGGUCUGAGAGGAUGAUCAGCCACACUGGAACUGAGACACGGUCCAGACUCCUACAGGAGGCAGCAGUGGGGAAUAUUGGACAAUGGGCGCAAGCCUGAUCCAGCCAUACCGCGUGGGUGAAGAAGGCCUUCGGGUUGUAAAGCCCUUUUGUUGGGAAAGAAAAGCAGCAGGUUAAUACCCCGCUGUUCUGACGGUACCCAAAGAAUAAGCACCGGCUAACUUCGUG
rnacentral:rRNA from 1 species